rnacentral:rRNA from 1 species
CCCACGGGUGGCAGCAGUGGGGAAUAUUGGACAAUGGGGGGAACCCUGAUCCAGCCAUGCCGCGUGUGUGAAGAAGGCCCUCGGGUUGUAAAGCACUUUCAGUGAGGAAGAACGCCUGGUGGUUAAUACCCAUCAGGAAAGACAUCACUCACAGAAGAAGCACCGGCUAACUCCGUGCCAGCAGCCGCGGUAAUACGGAGGGUGCGAGCGUUAAUCGGAAUUACUGGGCGUAAAGCGCGCGUAGGUGGCUUGAUAAGCCGGUUGUGAAAGCCCCGGGCUCAACCUGGGAACGGCAUCCGGAACUGUCAAGCUAGAGUGCAGGAGAGGAAGGUAGAAUUCCCGGUGUAGCGGUGAAAUGCGUAGAGAUCGGGAGGAAUACCAGUGGCGAAGGCGGCCUUCUGGACUGACACUGACACUGAGGUGCGAAAGCGUGGGUAGCAAACAGGAUUAGAUACCCUAGUAGUC